rnacentral:rRNA from 1 species
GACAGAGGUGCCGAGCGUUAGGCGGAAUCACUGGGCUUAAAGCGUGUGUAGGUGGAUGUCUAAGUACCUUGUGAAAUCCCACGGCUUAACCGUGGAACUGCUUGGUAUACUGGGUGUCUCGAGGAAGAUAGGGGUAUGCGGAACGAUUGGUGGAGCGGUGAAAUGCGUUGAUAUCAAUCGGAACUCCGGUGGCGAAGGCGGCAUACUGGAUCUUAUCUGACGCUGAGGCGCGAAGCUAGGGAGCAAACGGG